UAUAUAUAUUGCUUUUUCAUCAAAUAGAUACAUUUUACUUAUCAAAACAAUAAACAAGAAAAGAAAAAAAAUAUAAAAAUGAGCUUAGGGAUGGAGAAUUAAAAAUAAAAAUAUUAUAUAUUUAAAUAUAACCGGGUCCAUGGACCGGAUCUGGACCAGAUCUGGGUUUUAUAUCAACUACUCCAGAUCCGGAUCCGAUUUUUUAGAGAGUGGUCCAGAUCCGGUCCAGAUCCACCGGGUCCAAAUUUUGCAAGGUCCAAAUCCGAAAAAAAGGGUCUGGAUCAGCGGAUCUGGACCGGGUCUCGGAUCCUCCAUUGCCAUCCCUACCUUGAACUGUUCUCCCCCUUUCCUUUAUAAUCUCUCCCUUAUUCAUCUAUCACCUUCACCCCAGCAGCAAAACACCUUCGAGCUUUGGAAUAUCAUAGAUACCUCUGCACAUUAAUUCUUCUCUACAGAAACACCAACAUCACUGAAUACAAUCCUAAAGGUUUUACCUUUUAAACUCCAACUUAUUUUCCUCUGUAAAUGACAAUAUGAUGCAUCCUAUCCAUGUAUGCUGUUUUGCUUCUACAAACUUAUCAAACCAACAAAGCAUGAGUAUAAACUGCAUAACUUAGAUACUAUACUACACAUUUGUGCUUUUACAAUGUUAUACAUGAAGAAAGACUUAAAAAAGAUGAUAAAACAAGAUUUGUAAAUUGAAAAGAAAAAUUCGAACUUGUGUCUUGUUAUGUCGACUUGUGUUGUUGGUGUUGCUUGCUGUCAUGAGAGUCGAGUCAAGAGGGGAGGGCAGCGGCGGCAUCUCACUGUCGUUCGCCGGAAAUAGGGGGAGUCAGGGGAGAGAGAGAGCAGGUGGCGGUCGGCGGUGGCUUCGAGCUACUGUCUGGCCGGAGUGUGUGGGGCAGAGAGGGAUGAGGCGGUCGAAUUGGGGCCUUGACUAGGGCUUGGCGGUGGCGGCUUUAUGGUCGUGCGGUCGCCGGGAAUUAUAGGAGGGAGUGAGACCGAGAAGUGGUGGUAUCCAGGCGGAGGCGACGUCGUGUGUGUCGACGUCGCUGCCGGAUUUGUAAGCUAGGGCACGAUCGCCGGAGUGGGGUCUGGUAUUUGGGGAUCUAGGGCUGGAGGCGGUGUUGUCACCUGAUAUACGGGUCGACGGCGGCUGAAAUAGAGUGUAAGGCGGAGGAAGAUGAGAGGAGAGGCGGCGGGCUGCUGCUAUCGUCGGGGAGCGGCGCAGGGCCUGUGUUCAGGGUGUGUGUUCUGUUUUGGUGGGAGAAGAGGUGAGAGACUAGAGAGGGAGUUGAGAGGGUGACGGGUGAGAGGUGACCGGCGGCGAUUGUCGUCGCCGGAGGAGACGAGAGGUAGAGGGAGAUGGGACGGCCGCGGCAGCGGAUUUUGCAGAGAAGAGGGGUGGCGCGGUGUAGCCUUAAGAGAGAGAGAGAUCCGCCGUGAGGGUGUGUGGUGUGUGCAUGAGUUGUGUUAACGAAGAAGAAGAUAUUUUGGGCCUUAAUUUAUUUUA